AUACUUUUCUUGACCUUUUGGCUAAGAAAAAGUAUAGUAUUUGUUCUUAUCAGUUUAAUAUAUAAUAUAUGUACGAUGUGGUUUUUAUAUUAAAAUUAUUUUUUAUAUAGAUAUCGAAUAUGAUUUUGUGAUGUCGCAACGUACGAGCGUUGAACUAGUAGGCUUUGGAUGUAGGUCGCUCGAUCGACGGCCUUGU
rfam:Zea mays cultivar B73 chromosome 7, whole genome shotgun sequence.